AUGGACGUCGUGCAAACAAUCGCCUCGGCCGCGCAGCUGGUGUCUGCAAUGGUGACCGCGGUGGGAGCGCUGGAGCAGGCGGCCGCGGACACCGCUGAGGCUCCGAGGAGGCUCCAGGUGCUCGAGGACUUCGUGUCGGACCUUGAGGUGUUGGUGCAGCAGGCUAAGCAGAAGCACGCGCACAAGAUGCACGGCCCACAGCUGGAGCGUCAGUUUCAGAGCUUGAGCAGGCUCAUGGAUCAGCUCCGUGCCAAUAUCAUCAAGGCGAGGCGAGCCUUGAAGAAAGGGAAAGGGAAGGGCUUGGCUAGGGUGGUUUGGAGCUCGGUGGUGGGUGACCCCCUCAUGAAGUACAUUCAGCUGAUCAGAGAUGACCUCAACUGGUGGCUGGAAUUGCAGAAGUUGACAGAGAACGUCGGCAAAGCUAUAGCGUCUACUGCUAAGGCCACACCAUCGUUGGUCAGAGUCAAGUCUGAGCAGGGCUAUCCAGUGUCAGAGAAGUGUGGCUAUGUUAGGGACAUUUUGGAGAGAGAUGAUGGUCAUCGAGUUGUCCUGAUUGUUGGAUUAUCUGGUAUUGGGAAGUCGUGCCUCGCUCGACAAAUAGCUUCUCAGCCGCCUGGUAAUUUUGUGGAUGGUGCAAUUGAGGUUACUUUUGGCCGGUGGUGCAGUAGAGCAGCUUGUAAUGGAAGCAGAAGUGAGUACCAUAAACGUCUUGUUAGGAAGAUAAGCAAAUUGCUAGUGCAGAUUGGUUCCAUGACUGUCAACGAGGAUACGAGCAAAGAUCUUGAAGAUGUAUGUUGCUUGCUUCAGACCGUGUUGGUUGGAAAGAGUAUGUUAAUACUACUCGAUGACGUCUGGGAGCAAGACAUAGUUGAUCGCUUCACCAAGCUAUAUGAUAAUGAUUGCCGGUAUCUUGUGACAACAAGGGAUGAAGCAGUUUAUGAGAUAGCAGAAGCUGAGAAGGUAGAAAUAUCCAAAGAUGACAUCAAGAAAAUCAGCAAGGGCAUUCUUCGCUAUCAUAGUCUGCUUAGUGCUGAAGAGCUUCCGACUGUUGCAGACGACUUGCUGGACAGUUGUGGGCACCAUCCCCUAACAGUUGCUGUCUUGGGUAAGGCCCUAAGGAAGGAGACCAGAAUGGAAAAAUGGGAGAAAGCAAUAUCCAACCUUUCCACAUAUGCAACUUGUGCACCAGGUCCAGUUUCAUAUGUGAACGAGAAAGAAGUUGAGACCACCUUGACCAUAUUUGGAUCUUUUGAGUUCAGCUUGGAAGCAAUGCCUGAAAAUUCACGAAGGUUUUUCAUGGUUCUCGCAGCUAUUUCAUGGGAAGAACCUGUUCCAGAGGCAUGCCUUGAAUCCGUCUGGUCAGCACUUGUGCAGGACAGUUUAUUCCCUAUUGUAGUUUCAAAACUAGUAGAAGGCUCGCUUAUCAUCAAACUGGAAUACCAAUCGAUGUAUCAUAUGCAUGACAUGGUUUCGCUCUACCUUGAGAAUAAAGCAAAUGAUGCUGCUCAUACUCUUCUGACUGAUUCAUUUCCUGAGUAUGCUGCAUUGGUGGCUCCUUGGCUUUUUAUUUUUGGCAAAGAGACCAUGAAAGGGCCAGCUGAGCAGAAGAUGAGAUCAUUCUUUUCUUUGCUAGAGUUCAUGGAGAUUGAAAUCUUACUGGGAAGCACCACCCAAGCUCUCAUGGCAUGCAAAUCAAUAUCUGAAUUUGAGGCUAGCAGACUUGGCUUUAGCAAACUGCUUGGACCUCGAAUAGCAGAGCUAAUUUCUGUUCACAAGCUCUUAUCGUUGCUGUCACCAAAGCUAUUACAGUCGUCUUUUUCCAAGGAGACUAUGCAAAUCUCGCCCUAUCUAUUGAAACAGCAGGUUCUGUUGAUAAAUUAA
rnacentral:rRNA from 1 species